rnacentral:rRNA from 1 species
AAGAGACAGCAGCCGCCGCGGGAACACGGAGGAUCCAAGCGUUAUCCGGAAUCAUUGGGUUUAAAGGGUCCGUAGGCGGUCUUGUAAGUCAGUGGUGAAAGCCCAUCGCUCAACGGUGGAACGGCCAUUGAUACUGCAGGACUUGAAUUAUUGGGAAGUAACUAGAAUAUGUAGUGUAGCGGUGAAAUGCUUAGAGAUUACAUGGAAUACCAAUUGCGAAGGCAGGUUACUACCAAUUGAUUGACGCUGAUGGACGAAAGCGUGGGUAGCGAACAGGAUUAGAUACCCGCGUAGUCCCUGUCUCUUAUAC